ACGGGUGAGUAACACGUAUGCAAUCCACCUGUAACAGGGGAGUAACCCGGAGAAAUCCGGACUAAUACCCCAUAAUAUGGGCGCUCCGCAUGGAGAGUCCAUUAAAGAGAGCAAUCUUGGUUACAGACGAGCAUGCGCUCCAUUAGCCAGUUGGCGGGGUAACGGCCCACCAAGGCGACGAUGGAUAGGGGUUCUGAGAGGAAGGUCCCCCACAUUGGAACUGUGACACGGUCCAA
rnacentral:rRNA from 1 species